GGGCGGAUGGCGAAACGGCAAACGCAGCAGACUUAAAAUCUGCCGGGGCAACCCUUGUGGGUUCGACUCCCACUCCGCCCA
rnacentral:tRNA from 1 species